AUUCUGUAUUUUACGACUGGUUUUACAGGCCAAAUCACCAUACGACUGUUCGUCGUAAAGGGGGUAAAUUGGAUGCGAAGAAUAAAGAUAAGGGUUCCUGGCGGAAUGGAACCUAGACACCCAGCGUGGUAAUCAAGUAUUGUACUACAAGGCCACGAUACUGCUUGAAGCUGCUUCGUUAGGAGAGCCUAUGCAGGCGUCAUGACGGGUUGCAGCGGCACGGCGAAUCCGGCGCAUUCAAGCGAUAUCAUAGGAUGUCAUUCAUAUUGUAAAGCGCUGUACCUCUGAAUACAGAAGAGUCGUCAAAUGACAUUCUGCAGCGAAGAUUGGCUUAUCUGUUCUGUGCACUACUCAAAGUUAUUCAGAGAGAGCAUGCAUAGGUCACCGUUGAAUUAAGGAAGCUAUAUGCGCAUUCAUGAAUGCGCAUAUAGCUUUGGUCUACGUGGCCGGUGUUACGUAGGCCAAACCAGCCGUUGCAUUAACGUAAGGCUGCGGGAGCACCGAGUGGCAGUGAAAGCGCUGGUCGGUGGUGGGCACCUUGCCGACCAUUGCAGGAGAUGUUCUUGCUCUCCGUACUAUGAAAAAACGUCAGUGCUGCGCAGCUUCGCAACGCAGGGGGAGAGGAAAAUUUAUGAAACUAUGGUCAUCAAAAAUGAACCUGACGCGUGUGUCAGCAGUCCCUCCUUGGCUCUCUCUGACAAGGAACUUGGCUAUCUGGAAAGAAACUGAUAAAUCCUCUUUGUUGCUUAAUUUUUCAGCAUUAACAGAACCUUUACGCGCAUGCGCUCUCCAAGUUGCCUAUAUAUACCGGAAUGUUAUGUGUAUUAAAGUUUAG